UACGGGGGGGGCAAGCGUUGUUCGGAAUUACUGGGCGUAAAGGGCUCGUAGGCGGCCGACUAAGUCAGACGUGAAAUCCCUCGGCUUAACCGGGGAACUGCGUCUGAUACUGGAUGGCUUGAAUCCGGGAGAGGGAUGCGGAAUUCCAGGUGUAGCGGUGAAAUGCGUAGAUAUUGGGAGGAACACCAGUGGCGAAGGCGGCUCACUGGACUGGUACUGACGCUGAUGCGCGAAAGCGUGGGGAGCAAACAGG
rnacentral:rRNA from 1 species